rnacentral:rRNA from 1 species
GGCUCAGAACGAACGCUGGCGGCAUGCCUAACACAUGCAAGUCGAACGAGACCUUCGGGUCUAGUGGCGCACGGGUGCGUAACGCGUGGGAAUCUGCCCAAAGGUACGGAAUAACUCCUCGAAAGGGGUGCUAAUACCGUAUGAUGUCGCAAGACCAAAGAUUUAUCGCCUUUGGAUGAGCCCGCGUAAGAUUAGCUUGUUGGUGGGGUAAAGGCCUACCAAGGCGACGAUCUUUAGCUGGUCUGAGAGGAUGAUCAGCCACACUGGGACUGAGACACGGCCCAGACUCCUACGGGAGGCAGCAGUGGGGAAUAUUGGACAAUGGGCGAAAGCCUGAUCCAGCAAUGCCGCGUGAGUGAUGAAGGCCUUAGGGUUGUAAAGCUCUUUUACCCGGGAAGAUAAU